UACGUAGGUGGCAAGCGUUGUCCGGAUUUAUUGGGCGUAAAGCGAGCGCAGGCGGUUCCUUAAGUCUGAUGUGAAAGCCCACGGCUCAACCGUGGAAGGUCAUUGGAAACUGGGGAACUUGAGUGCAGAAGAGGAGAGUGGAAUUCCAUGUGUAGCGGUGAAAUGCGUAGAUAUAUGGAGGAACACCAGUGGCGAAGGCGACCCUCUGGUCUGUAACUGACACUGAGGCACGAAAGCGUGGGGAGCAAACAGGAUUAGAUA
rnacentral:rRNA from 1 species